UACGAAGGGGGCUAGCGUUGCUCGGAAUCACUGGGCGUAAAGCGCACGUAGGCGGCUUGUUAAGUCAGGGGUGAAAUCCUGGAGCUCAACUCCAGAACUGCCUUUGAUACUGGCGAGCUUGAGUUCGGGAGAGGUGAGUGGAACUGCGAGUGUAGAGGUGAAAUUCGUAGAUAUUCGCAAGAACACCAGUGGCGAAGGCGGCAUCCUGGACCGAGAUUGACGCUGAUGCGCGAAAGCCAGGGGAGCAAACGGG
rnacentral:rRNA from 1 species